GAUGAACGCUGGCGGCGUGCCUAAUACAUGCAAGUCGAGCGAACAGACGAGGAGCUUGCUCCUCUGACGUUAGCGGCGGACGGGUGAGUAACACGUGGAUAACCUACCUAUAAGACUGGGAUAACUUCGGGAAACCGGAGCUAAUACCGGAUAAUAUAUUGAACCGCAUGGUUCAAUAGUGAAAGACGGUUUUGCUGUCACUUAUAGAUGGAUCCGCGCCGCAUUAGCUAGUUGGUAAGGUAACGGCUUACCAAGGCAACGAUGCGUAGCCGACCUGAGAGGGUGAUCGGCCACACUGGAACUGAGACACGGUCCAGACUCCUACGGGAGGCAGCAGUAGGGAAUCUUCCGCAAUGGGCGAAAGUCUGACGGAGCAACGCCGCGUGAGUGAUGAAGGUCUUCGGAUCGUAAAACUCUGUUAUUAGGGAAGAACAAAUGUGUAAGUAACUAUGCACGUCUUGACGGUACCUAAUCAGAAAGCCACGGCUAACUACGUGC
rnacentral:rRNA from 1 species